ACAUUACGAAGUUGGAUGUACAAU
rnacentral:siRNA from 1 species